rnacentral:rRNA from 1 species
AAAAGAAACUAACAAGGAUUCCCCUAGUAGCGGCGAGCGAAGCGGGAAGAGCUCAAAUUUAUAAUCUGGCACCUUCGGUGUCCGAGUUGUAAUCUCUAGAAGUGUUUUCCGCGUUGGACCGCACACAAGUCUGUUGGAAUACAGCGGCAUAGUGGUGAAACCCCCGUAUAUGGUGCGGACGCCCAGCGCUUUGUGAUACACUUUCAAUGAGUCGAGUUGUUUGGGAAUGCAGCUCAAAUUGGGUGGUAAAUUCCAUCUAAAGCUAAAUAUUGGCGAGAGACCGAUAGCGAACAAGUACCGUGAGGGAAAGAUGAAAAGCACUUUGGAAAGAGAGUUAACAGUACGUGAAAUUGUUGGAAGGGAAACGCUUGAAGUCAGACUUGCUUGCCGGAGCUUGCUUCGGUUUGCAGGCCAGCAUCAGUUUUCCGGGGUGGAUAAUGACGGUUUGAAGGUAGCAGUCUCGGCUGUGUUAUAGCUUUCCGUUGGAUACAUCCUGGGGGACUGAGGAACGCAGCGUGCUUUUUGCGAAAGACUCGUCUUUUUCACGCUUAGGAUGCUGGUGGAAUGGCUUUAAACGACCCGUCU